CCCUUAGAUGUUCUGGGCCGCACGCGUGCUACACUGAGUGGAUCAGCGGGUCAGGUUGCGCGAAAGUGUUUCCUAAUCUUUAAAUCCGCUCGUGAUGGGGAUUGACGGUUGCAAUUUUCCGUCAUGAACGAGGAAUACCUUGUAAGCGCGGGUCAUCAUCCCGCGCUGAAUACGUCCCUGCCCUUUGUACACACCGCCCGUCGCUACUACCGAUUGAAUGGUUUAGUGAGAUCUCCGGAUUGGCACCAUCGAGGCUUCACGGCCUUGACGGAAAGUCGAAAAGUUGCUCAAACUUGAUCAUUUAGAGGAAGUAAAAGUCGUAACA
rnacentral:rRNA from 1 species